GACUACCCAGGUGGCUAGCACCUACUUGGAUAAGAAUGUCCUGAGCUUCAAAUCUCUUCCCUGAUAAAAAGAGGGCUGCUGCUCUCAAGGAACUUCAGUCAAGGGGAGUGGGGGAAGACAGUCCCACACACAGACAAAAAACUAGGGGGUGAAAGGCCAAUGAGUGGUGGGAAGGAAAGGGAAAGAAGCUUCCAGAAGGCUAGGGGUAAGAAUGCAGCAGUGAACAUGGUUCCUGCACUCAUGAAGCAAAUGUAUCCACUGUGGUACAAAAGAGACUGUAAAAAACAAACCCAAAUGGACAACAGAGUUCUGAACCAUCCUGUGACAAGUCUAGUUACCCUAAAGCUGUCAUGCAGGAGAGACCAUGUGGAGAGAAGGAGAGUUAGAGAGAGGAGGAGCCCCUGCUGUUUGAGUAUUCUCAGCCCAGACACCAGACAUGAGUGAGGAAGCAUUCAGACCCCAACUCCAGUUUAAAAACGCCACCACUCAACAGCCUGUUUUCUGAGCCUAUGACCACAUAUAUGCUGCAGAACCCUUUCAGGGUGUAUCUGAAACUACUUCUCUUAAAGGCAAGCUGUAACUGGUGCCAGUGAGUACUACUAUCUUUUAUUUAAAUUAAAAACAAAUUUAACAUCACUUAGUCUUUAUAAGAAUGAGAAAGUCCAGAUAAGUAUAAAGAAGAAAAUUUAAAAAUCUAAAUGGUCGGGGUGUUUGGGGGAGCAGAAGAGGAAGAUAGAAGAUUGUAUCUCUCUAUCUUCUUGUCUUGGCUUCUGAACCCGAGAUGUUUUUUAUUAUUGCAGGAAAAGACAGAAGCUGAUUGAGGUCCCAGCUUGGUAACAGUUUGAAGAGUUGCAGGACUGGCUGGAUGAGUACUGGCUGCAGCAAAUCAGGCUGCCAGGAUUCUUUAUGGCUGUUUCUGCUUCCACUACAGCUGAGUCAGAAAGGUCGCUGCCCCGUGGUGGCACUAGACGCAGUGGACCUGGCAAGCAAAUGUUUCC
rnacentral:lncRNA from 1 species